CACUACUUCAGUGAGGCCUCUGACCUGCUGAACCAGCAGGUCGAACUACUCCAUACCGACCACCAUUGUCGGAGGAGGAGCCUAAAAAACUAGAGGUGAGGCUGGAGCUUGAGAUCUGACCGCGGAGGUCGUGGAUCGUCUGGUAGAUGCCUUUCGGGGAGGCAUCAGGUGGAGAUCUAAUAGGAGAAGGGGAGGAGGAU
rnacentral:lncRNA from 1 species